AUUGAACGCUGGCGGCAUGCUUUACACAUGCAAGUCGAACGGUAACAGGCCUUCGGGUGCUGACGAGUGGCGAACGGGUGAGUAAUGCAUCGGAACGUGCCCAAUCGUGGGGGAUAACGUAGCGAAAGUUACGCUAAUACCGCAUAAGCCCUGAGGGGGAAAGUGGGGGACCGCAAGGCCUCACGCGAAUGGAGCGGCCGAUGUCAGAUUAGCUAGUUGGUGGGGUAAAGGCCCACCAAGGCGACGAGUCUGUAGCGGGUCUGAGAGGACGAUCCGCCACACUGGGACUGAGACACGGCCCAGACUCCUACGGGAGGCAGCAGUGGGGAAUUUUGGACAAUGGGCGCAAGCCUGAUCCAGCCAUGCCGCGUGCGGGACGAAGGCCU
rnacentral:rRNA from 1 species